GACGAACGCUGGCGGCGUGCCUAAUACAUGCAAGUUGAGCGCUGAAGGUUGGUACUUGUACCAACUGGAUGAGCAGCGAACGGGUGAGUAACGCGUGGGGAAUCUGCCUUUGAGCGGGGGACAACAUUUGGAAACGAAUGCUAAUACCGCAUAAAAACUUUAAACACAAGUUUUAAGUUUGAAAGAUGCAAUUGCAUCACUCAAAGAUGAUCCCGCGUUGUAUUAGCUAGUUGGUGAGGUAAAGGCUCACCAAGGCGAUGAUACAUAGCCGACCUGAGAGGGUGAUCGGCCACAUUGGGACUGAGACACGGCCCAAACUCCUACGGGAGGCAGCAGUAGGGAAUCUUCGGCAAUGGACGAAAGUCUGACCGAGCAACGCCGCGUGAGUGAAGAAGGUUUUCGGAUCGUAAAACUCUGUUGGUAGAGAAGAACGUUGGUGAGAGUGGAAAGCUCAUCAAGUGACGUAACUACC
rnacentral:rRNA from 1 species